UACGGGGGGGGCAAGCGUUGUUCGGAUUUACUGGGCGUAAAGGGCGCGUAGGCGGUCAGCACAAGUCAGUUGUGAAAUCUCCGGGCUUAACUCGGAAAGGUCAACUGAUACUGUGCGACUAGAGUGCGGAAGGGGCAACUGGAAUUCUCGGUGUAGCGGUGAAAUGCGUAGAUAUCGAGAGGAACACCUGCGGCGAAGGCGGGUUGCUGGGCCGACACUGACGCUGAGGCGCGAAAGCCAGGGGAGCGAACGGG
rnacentral:rRNA from 1 species